ACUUCACAGCUUUAACAGGCUCUUCACUGGAUUCAGACAGAGAGAACAGAGGUAAAUACACUUCACCGCUUUAGUGGAUCUUUCAUUCACAGCUUUAGUGAGGGAUUAUAGGUUGGUCGCCCGUACACUCUGCAACAUCCCACACUCGUGUAUACACUACAACACACUCAAUUCACACGUGAUAAUUGAAACUCAGCACAGCAUGCACGAACCUCAAAUCCUUAAGGUAGAGUGCGGGCCCAUACGACAAUCUCAACCAAUGAACUUUCCAUAUGCUGAUAC